rnacentral:rRNA from 2 species
UAGGGAAUCUUCGGCAAUGGACGAAAGUCUGACCGAGCAACGCCGCGUGAGUGAAGAAGGUUUUCGGAUCGUAAAACUCUGUUGUUAGAGAAGAACAAGGACGUUAGUAACUGAACGUCCCCUGACGGUAUCUAACCAGAAAGCCACGGCUAACUACGUGCCAGCAGCCGCGGUAAUACGUAGGUGGCAAGCGUUGUCCGGAUUUAUUGGGCGUAAAGCGAGCGCAGGCGGUUUCUUAAGUCUGAUGUGAAAGCCCCCGGCUCAACCGGGGAGGGUCAUUGGAAACUGGGAGACUUGAGUGCAGAAGAGGAGAGUGGAAUUCCAUGUGUAGCGGUGAAAUGCGUAGAUAUAUGGAGGAACACCAGUGGCGAAGGCGACUCUCUGGUCUGUAACUGACGCUGAGGCUCGAAAGCGUGGGGAGCAAACAGG